rnacentral:rRNA from 1 species
AUACGGAGGGUGCAAGCGUUACUCGGAAUCACUGGGCGUAAAGCGCGCGCAGGCGGCUAUUUAAGUUGGAUGUGAAAGCCUACGGCUCAACCGUAGAACUGCAUCCAAAACUAUUUAGCUAGAGUGUGGGAGAGGAAGAUGGAAUUAGUUGUGUAGGAGUAAAAUCCGUAGAGAUAACUAGGAAUACCAAAAGCGAAGGCAAUCUUCUGGAACACUACUGACGCUGAGGCGCGAAAGCGAGGGGAGCAAACAGGAUUAGAUACCCUAGUAGUCC